CAGUUCUCUGCAGGCAGGCAGUCACCUGCUGGAACGGUUAGCCGAGCCCACUGCUACCUGCGCCCUUCCACCUCCAUCCCAGACGACACAGGUAUCAGUCUGAGAGGGUCACCUCAAGAGACACUCCACCCUCAAGGCAGGCUUCGGACGACCAGAAGGAGAGCUUUCCAAGGACCACAGCUGCAGGGAAUGGAAUGAGUUGCCUUCAAAGGUGGUGAGGUCGUCACUGCAAGGCACGGUGACCCACAGAAGGCUGGAGACUGGAGACACUCUGUAGACUGGCUUUCACGAAUCAGUGGAACUUUACGCCUCUGACAUCCUCCAGCCACACAGGGAAAUUUCAGCUUCUCCCACAUGGGGUCAAAACUCAGGAUGGUUAAACUGGUAAAUACGGCCGAAUGUCUCCUACCCAGCCUUACAGUUUCUCAUUUUAAUUUGAAAACAUAGCUCUCGAUCAAAACUCAUACAUGACCAAAACACAGUGCCUUCUGUCAGGGCAUUGGUGUAUUCUGUUGUUUUGUUUUGUUUUAAGGAAAAGUGAGCAAGAAAGCACUCCACUCCCUGUUAAUAAAGGAAGAAUAUAUUCUAGAAAAGCAAUAUGAUAAAAUAAGUGCUACUAAAUAACUGGA